GACGAACGCUGGCGGCGUGCUUAACACAUGCAAGUCGAGCGGAGCGGCGAACGGGUGAGUAACGCGUGAGUAACUGCCCCCCUCUCUGGGAUAACAGUUGGAAACGGCUGCUAAUACCGGAUAGUGGGGGAUGACUCGCGUCCUAUCAGCUUGUUGGUGGGGUAGUGGCCUACCACGGCGACGACGGGUAGCCGGCCUGAGAGGGCGACCGGCCACAUGGGCCUGAGAUACGGCCCAAACCCCUACGGGGGGCAGCGGGGGGGAAUAGUGCAAAAGGGGGGAAACCUUGAUGCAGCACCGCCGCGGGGGGGAUGACGGCCUUAGGGUUGUAACCCGCUUUCACCAAGGACGCGGUGGGGUCAAAAGAAGCACCGGCUAACUACGGGCCAGCAGCGGCGGUAAUUC
rnacentral:rRNA from 1 species